rnacentral:tRNA from 1 species
GAGAGUAUAGCUCAGUGGUAGAGCAUUCGACUGCGGAUCGGGAGGUCCCGGUUCAAACCCGGGUGCCCCUUUUCA